rnacentral:rRNA from 1 species
AACGAACGCUGGCGGCGCGCCUAAUACAUGCAAGUCGAACGAGAAGCUGUAGCAAUACAGUUGUACAGUGGCGAACGGGUGAGGAAUACAUGGGUGACCUACCCUCGAGUGGGGAAUAACCAGCCGAAAGGUUGGCUAAUACCGCGUACGCUUCCCAGUCUACGGGUUGGGAAGGAAAGCGAUGCCGUGGGUAUCGCGCUCAAGGUUGGGCUCAUGUCCUAUCAGCUUGNGGUGGGGUAACGGCGUCACCAAGGCAACGACGGGUAGCUGGUCUGAGAGGACGAUCAGCCACACUGGCACUGCGAC